UCCCCCGUGGCGCAAUUGGCUAGCGCGUUCGACUGUUAAUCGAGAGGUUGAUAGUUCAAGCCUAUCCGAGGGAG
rnacentral:tRNA from 1 species